GCCGAUUGAUGCUGCAGUAGUGACUCUCGGCCCAUUUGGGAGAAAUACGCUGAGACAGACAAUGUAACUACCUGACGAAUCUCUUUCCUUGCAGAUAAAAUCAGCACAUAGCACACGCCUUUCAACCAUCUGCCACAAAAGAAGAACCAAUGUUGGGGCAAAUCAGGGACAAACGGAGGAAAAAACCCUCCCAGGAAUGGCUUCUUGAAAAUGGAAUUAAAGGCAAAAAUAUGAAGCACCAAGAAAUCAUCACAGCUUCAAGCAGUUAACAUACUAUCAGUUAAUACCAGAGAGAGAGAGACUAUCACUACAAGCAAAAACAAAUACUGGAAUGAAGAUCCCUGGAGAGCUGCAGGUGAAGGAAACCCUUGGCUACUUCCACAUAAGAGGCAAACCGUCAAUGGGAAAAUGAGCAGGAUCCUCUGUGGACUUUCUUUUUGUCCUUGUGGAUUAUUUCCAAGUUAUGGGAUCUUUAAUUCUCAAAUUAGUGGGAGAGUUGUUUGAGUAAAGAGUUCAGGAUCAGGCUGUAGCUUAUUAAAUAAAAAAAGUUAGACAACCAAGUUGUCUAGUGUUGGUAUUAUAGUAAAUUGGCAAAAUGUUAAAUGUUUUAUUCUCUUUAUGAGAGUGAAGGAAAUGAGAUUCUGAGAAGUAUUGGAGUGGGCAACCCAAUUAGUAUUUGUUUUUCCUGUUCUUGAUAGUGAUCAAAUUUCCCCCUACCUCCCCACACACACAUUUAUGUCAAAAAUAGAACAGAAAGUAAGGAGUUAACUGAGAACGGGGACAAAUAAUAAGAAAAAGAAAAACCUUGAUUAUGCUUUCUGCCCACUAUGUCCAUGGCAUUCAAUAAAAACCAAAGCUCUCAAUUUCGGGGGGGGGGGGAAAUCGGGGACAAAACCACAGAUAGAAGCAUAAAGACAGCUUUGGAACAACCCACCCUUUGCCACAGUCAUGUUAGGAAUUCAAGACUGGAAAUUCACUUUACUCCGGAAAAUAGUUAAUGGUGACCCAGAGAAAAAUGUUUCAAAGGUCACUCUAAAUCUACAGCUACAGAGCCAGCUAGAUCAGCCUUUACAAGAUCUUACUUGCUUAAAUAUGUUUUCUUUCUGAGAAGCUAGUUUCUGUUUCUUGCAUGCCUCCUUACAUUUAACAUUUAUUCUGAGCAUGAACAAACUAAUCUCUAUUAUAAAAAGUUUCCAUGCCUUUCAUUAUUGUUCAUUAUCAGGGUGUUUGGUUUUUUAUAUUAAACCAUUUGUAUUGGAGUGAAUCUUUUCACUACCAAACUUUUCUAUAAUUGUUAAAGCAGGUUUAACAAUGCCCCCUACUGGAUUCAUAGCUGAAAUGACAAAAAAUAUCAGGUGAUGGAAUAGGGAACACAGUUAAAACCAAGCAAGAUUGAACCGAAUGGUGAGUGUAUAUUAAUUCCCUACAGAGAAGUUCAGAUUUGUGUUUUGUUCAGUCUUCAUAGGUCAAGAUUGUGCGGUUCCUCUAUCAAGCAGCACUACCUCAGUUAGUGGAAACAUUUUGCUCUAAACAGUUAUAUAAAAUAUUAUCCCGUUAAAUAUUCACCAUGUUAAAAGUUACCAAGAAGGUGGCUCUUUAGGUUUCAGACCUUUAAGACACUAUCAGAUUGUUUCACAAUAACUUAGUGAUUGUUAUGGUAAUAAAUUAGGCCCUGAUCCUGCAACUGGAUCCAUGUGGGUGAUCCCUUGCACCUGUGCAGGGGAGCUCCAAUGAUUUGAUUGGAACUCUGAAUGGACAGAUGGGUCUGCACAUGUAGAUCUGAUUACAGAAUCAUAGCCUUGGUUGUAGUAUCAGAGAGAGAGAGAGAGGUACAAAGAUGCCACAUAGCCUGGUGCAAAGCACACACUGGUGUUUGUGGUAGAAAGAUUAUUGUCUCUUUAAAAUAUUGUUGUUGCAUCUCAGAACCUUUCACUGUUUAAAGAAUGGCACUGCUCUAUAGCACUGUAAAUGUGAAGAUGUUUUUAAGAAUAAUAUUUUUAAAUACUGUGCAAUGUCCUUUAAAUAGGGAAGCAUUAUUAUUAUGUAUUUAUUGGUAUUACCAAACACCUCAAGAGCCCUAAUCAGGGACACGGACCCCAUUGCACUGAACAGUUAUGUUAUUUUUACAAAAGAUCAGUAUAACAAUA